rnacentral:rRNA from 1 species
AUUGAACGCUGGCGGCAGGCCUAACACAUGCAAGUCGAGUGAGCGGCGGACGGGUGAGUAAUGUAUGGGGAUCUGCCCGAUCGAGGGAGAUAACUACUGGAAAAGGUGGCUAAUACCGCAUACUAUCGUAUGAAGCGAUAUGGGAUUAGCUAGUGGGUGGGGUAAAGGCUCACCUAGGCGACGAUCCCUAGCUGGUCUGAGAGGAUGACCGGCCACACUGGAACUGAGACACGGUCCAGACUCCUACGGGAGGCAGCAGUGGGGAAUAUUGCACAAUGGGCUCAAGCCUGAUGCAGCCAUGCCGCGUGGAUGAAGAAGGCCUUCGGGUUGUAAAGUACUUUCAGCGAGGAGGCGUUACUCGCAGAAGAAGCACCGGCUAACUCCGUGCCAGCCGCCGCGGUAAUUC